UACGUAGGGGGCAAGCGUUAUCCGGAAUUAUUGGGCGUAAAGAGUGCGUAGGUGGUUUUGUAAGCGCGGGGUGAAAGGCAAUGGCUCAACCAUUGUAAGCCUUGCGAACUGCAAGACUUGAGUGCAGGAGAGGAAAGUGGAAUUCCUAGUGUAGCGGUGAAAUGCGUAGAUAUUAGGAGGAACACCAGUGGCGAAGGCGACUUUCUGGACUGUAACUGACACUGAGGCACGAAAGCGUGGGGAGCAAACA
rnacentral:rRNA from 1 species